UACAGAGACUGCAAGCGUUAUUCGGAUUCACUGGGCGUAAAGGGUGCGCAGGCGGUUGGGUGUGUUAGAUGUGAAAACCCGAGGCUCAACCUCGGAACUGCGUCUGAAACUACUCGACUAGAGUACUGGAGAGGGUAACGGAAUUCACGGUGUAGCAGUGAAAUGCGUAGAUAUCGUGAGGAACACCAGAGGCGAAGGCGGUUACCUGGACAGUUACUGACGCUCAGGCACGAAAGCAUGGGGAGCAAAAGGG
rnacentral:rRNA from 1 species